UACGUAGGGGGCAAGCGUUAUCCGGAUUCACUGGGUGUAAAGGGAGCGUAGACGGCGACGCAAGUCUGGAGUGAAAGCCCGGGGCCCAACCCCGGGACUGCUCUGGAAACUGCGUCGCUGGAGUACGGGAGGGGCAGGCGGAAUUCCUGGUGUAGCGGUGAAAUGCGUAGAUAUCACGCAGAACUCCGAUUGCGAAGGCAGCAUACCGGCGCCCGACUGACGCUGAAGCACGAAAGCGUGGGUAUCGAACAGG
rnacentral:rRNA from 1 species